GACGUAGGGCGCAAGCGUUGUCCGGAUUUAUUGGGCGUAAAGAGCUCGUAGGCGGCCUGUCGCGUCGACUGUGAAAACUCACGGCUCAACCGUGGGACUGCAGUCGAUACGGGCAGGCUAGAGUUCGGUAGGGGAGACUGGAAUUCCUGGCGUAGCGGUGAAAUGCGCAGAUAUCAGGAGGAACACCGGUGGCGAAGGCGGGUCUCUGGGCCGAUACUGACGCUGAGGAGCGAAAGCGUGGGGAGCGAACAGG
rnacentral:rRNA from 1 species